GUGGAUAGUAUCUGUCUCCUUGAACACUUCCUCUACUAUUCCCACCAUUCCCUCUAAAACUUCCUCUUCCUCUAUAACUACCACUAUAACCUCCUCAUACCCUUCUCUCUCCUUGUCUAUCACCUUCAUACUGCUCUCUCUGUGGACACUCACUCUUCCAAUGUCCCUCCUUUCUACAAUACGCACAUUAAUUCCUACUUAAAGUCC